CCCUUAGAUGUCCGGGGCCGCACGCGCGCUACACUGAAGGAAUCAGCGUGGCUUUCUCCCUGGUCCGAAAGGACCGGGAAACCCGUUGAAUCUCCUUCGUGAUAGGGAUUGGGGCUUGAAAUUGUUCCCCAUGAACGAGGAAUUCCCAGUAAGCGCGAGUCAUAAGCUCGCGUUGAUUACGUCCCUGCCCUUUGUACACACCGCCCGUCGCUCCUACCGAUUGGGUGUGCUGGUGAAAUGUUCGGAUCGGCCGUUUGUCGCGGUUUCCGCGUCAUGUGGCUGAGAAGUUCAUUAAACCCUCCCACCUAGAGGAAGGAGAAGUCGUAACA
rnacentral:rRNA from 1 species